ACCUCAGUCACUCGCUGAAACAGCUACAUGUUUAAGCGAUUGUCCUAGCAUGAUGUUUUUCAAUGCGACUUCUUCCGAUUGUGUCCUAUGUAAUUGUAACAACAACACCACAGAUUCAUGUAACCAGACGACAGGAGAGUGCACGUGCAAGACUGGGUUCUAUGGACCAUCAUGUGAUUGCAUCAAAAAUCAGCACAACUGCAACAAUACGUAUUCCUACUGUUCCUUUCAUGGAACCACACCUGUUUGUAAUUGUAGAGUCGGGUUUUAUGGGAGGAAUUUGGGCUGUUUCGAAUCACUAAGAUUCAUCAGGGAUACAGGAGUUUUGCAAUUGUAUCAUCAGGAUCAGUGGAUGCUAAUUGGUUUCAGUUACAGAUGGGAUGAGAAUGAAUCUAAAGUUAUUUGCACUCAGUUGGGU